rnacentral:tRNA from 1 species
GUUGGGGUGGCAGAGACAGGCUAAUGCACAAGACCUAAGCCCUUGUAAUCAAAAGUUCAAAUCUUUUCCCCAACA